rnacentral:misc_RNA from 1 species
AGCAAUUGCUGCAGUUAAGGGAUUACAUUUACAUGAUGAAAACCAAACAGAUGUCCUGGGAAAUUCGCUAUAGGGACCUCCUUCAAUCGAGUAAUGAAAAGAAAAACACACCCAUUAGACACCGAUAAUACAAGCAACUAAAGGAAUACAAAGAGAACCAAAACGACGAAUUCAUGGAAAUGGGGAUAAACAUGUCAGAUGUUUUUAACUGAAGGAGGCCAUGACAAUCUCCUGUGGCUCAUACUAUCACCUUUUUCAAUUUCACUACCUUCUUGAGGUUCACUUUCUUGCCUUCUCAGGUUUCCAACUGCUAAAUCAUCAAAGCUUGAUUCUGUUCUCCAUGGGGGAGGAGUAAUGCAAUCAGUAUCUCCAAGUGUUGUUUGAGAAGGAUCAUUGCUUGGUGUUGUAGACAAGGAAGAAGAAUGACCAACUCUCAAAGCAUGCAGUGUUGCAAUUGACUCUCUCAUAGCAGACAUGGCUUCAAAGAACCGGGUGCUGGAAGCCAAAGCAACAGGAAUUGGACGAAGCAUUUCCCCCCAUACUGUUGGUGGCUCUUUAAAAUUCUGACUCCACUGAAAAUCUGUUACGGAGGCCGUCAAAGCUCCAUAAUCACUGGCAGCCCUCAUCAGCAAUUCUGAAAAUUGUUUCUGAUAU